GGAGUUGUAGCUCUGUGGUAGAGCGCUUGCCUAGCAUGUGUGAGGCCCUGGGUUCAAUCCUCAGCACUUUG
rnacentral:tRNA from 1 species